UACAGAGGGGGCGAGCGUUAUUCGGAAUUAUUGGGCGUAAAGGGCGCGUAGGCGGCUUUUCAAGUGACGGGUGAAAUCCCUCGGCUUAACCGAGGAACUGCCUGUCAGACUGGAAGGCUUGAGACCGGGAGAGGUGAGUGGAAUUCCCAGUGUAGAGGUGAAAUUCGUAGAUAUUAGGAAGAACACCAGUGGCGAAGGCGGCUCACUGGCCCGGUACUGACGCUGAGGCGCGAAAGCGUGGGGAGCAAACAGG
rnacentral:rRNA from 1 species